rnacentral:rRNA from 1 species
CCUACUGGGGGCAGCAGUGGGGAAUAUUGCACAAUGGGGGAAACCCUGAUGCAGCAACGCCGCGUGAGUGAGGAAGUAUUUCGGUAUGUAAAGCCCUAUCAGCAGGGAAUAGAAAAGACGGUACCUGAAAAAGAAGCCCCGGCUAACUACGUGCCAGCAGCCGCGGUAAUACGUAGGGGGCAAGCGUUAUCCGGAUUUACUGGGUGUAAAGGGAGCGUAGACGGGAAGGCAAGUCAGAAGUGAAAACCCAGGGCUCAACCAUGGGACUGCUUUUGAAACUGUCGAACUAGAGUACGGGAGAGGUAAGAGGAAUGCCUGGUGUAGCGGUGAAAUGCGUAGAUAUUAGGAGGAACACCGGUGGCGAAGGCGGCUUACUGGACCGAAACUGACGUUGAGGCUCGAAAGCGUGGGGAGCGAACAGGAUUAGAUACCCUUGUAGUC